AUAUAAGCGGAGGAAAAGAAACUAACAAGGAUUCCCCUAGUAACGGCGAGUGAAGAGGGAAGAGCCCAAGAUUGAAAGCUGGCGUCUUUGGCGUCCGCAUUGUAAUCUCAAGAAGUGUUUUCCGCUUCGGACCAUGCCUAAGUCCCUUGGAAAAGGGCAUCAUAGAGGGUGAUAAUCCCGUACAUGGCAUGGAGCGCCCGAAGCUUUGUGAUACACUUUCUAAGAGUCGAGUUGUUUGGGAAUGCAGCUCAAAAUGGGUGGUAAAUGCCAUCUAAGGCUAAAUAUUGGGGAGAGACCGAUAGCGAACAAGUACAGUGAUGGAAAGAUGAAAAGAACUUUGAAAAGAGAGUUAAACAGUACGUGAAAUUGCCAAAAGGGAAGGGUAGGAGGUCAGAGAUGCGGUCUGGGAUUCAGCCUUGCUUUUGCUGGGUGUUUUUCUCAGAUUGCAGGCCAACGUCGGUUUUGGGCGCUGGAGAAGGGUGGAAGGAAUGUGGCACCUCUCGGGGUGUGUUAUAGCCUUCUACUGGAUACAGUGACCGAGACCGAGGACAGCAGCGUACUCGCAAGAGCGGGCCUUCGGGCACCUUUACGCUUAGGGCGUUGGCAUAAUGGCCCUCUACCACCCGUCUUGA
rnacentral:rRNA from 1 species